AUCAGCAUGCGACGAUUACGUCCCUGCCCUUUGUACACACCGCCCGUCGCUACUACCGAUUGGAUGGCUCAGUGAGGCUUCUGGAUUGGCGCUGUGGGCAACUGCAGCUGCCGAGAAACUAUCCAAACUCGGUCAUCUAGAGGAAGUAAAAGUCGUAACAAGGUCUCCGUUGGUGAACCAGCGGAGGGAUCAUUAG
rnacentral:rRNA from 1 species